rnacentral:rRNA from 4 species
GACUCUCGGCAACGGAUAUCUCGGCUCACGCAUCGAUGAAGAACGUAGCAAAAUGCGAUACUUGGUGUGAAUUGCAGAAUCCCGUGAACCAUCGAGUUUUUGAACGCAAGUUGCGCCCGAAGCCUUUCGGCCGAGGGCACGCCUGCCUGGGCGUCACAC